GCCAGCAUGGCAUAAUGGAUUAAGUGUUGGACUAUAACUCUGGAGACCAGGGUUCGAUUCCCAGCUCAACCA